GACGAACGCUGGCGGCGCGCCUAACACAUGCAAGUCGAACGGGGAAGUUAGCAAUAACUUCUUAGUGGCGAACGGGUGAGUAACGCGUGGACAACCAACCUUUUUAGUGGGGGACAACACUUCGAAAGGAGUGCUAAUACCGCAUAAUCUCUUUUGGCUGCAUGGUUGAAAGAGGAAAGGGGCAACUGCUCCGCUAAAAGACGGGUCCACGUCUGAUUAGCUAGUUGGAGGGGUAACGGCCCACCAAGGCGACGAUCAGUAGCCGGUCUGAGAGGAUGAACGGCCACACUGGGACUGAGACACGGCCCAGACUCCUACGGGAGGCAGCAGUGGGGAAUCUUCCGCAAUGGACGAAAGUCUGACGGAGCGACGCCGCGUGAGUGAUGAAGGCCUUCGGGUCGUAAAGGCUCUGUCAUCGGGGACGAAUGGUCGUUGGAGUGGAAAGCCAGCGAAUGACGGUACCCGAGAAGGAAGCCACGGCUAACUACGUGCCAGCAGCCGCGGUAAAAUCAACGUGUACG
rnacentral:rRNA from 1 species